CUCCCUGAUGUUAGCGGCGGACGGGUGAGUAACACGUGGGUAACCUGCCUGUAAGACUGGGAUAACUCCGGGAAACCGGGGCUAAUACCGGAUGCUUGAUUGAACCGCAUGGUUCAAUUAUAAAAGGUGGCUUUUAGCUACCACUUACAGAUGGACCCGCGGCGCAUUAGCUAGUUGGUGAGGUAACGGCUCACCAAGGCAACGAUGCGUGGGACUGAGACACGGCCCAGACUCCUACGGGAGGCAGCAGUAGGGAAUCUUCCGCAAUGGACGAAAGUCUGACGGAGCAACGCCGCGUGAGUGAUGAAGGUUUUCGGAUCGUAAAACUCUGUUGUUAGGGAAGAACAAGUACCGUUCGAAUAGGGCGGUACCUUGACGGUACCUAACCAG
rnacentral:rRNA from 1 species